UACAGAGGGGGCAAGCGUUGUUCGGAAUUACUGGGCGUAAAGGGCGCGUAGGCGGCCCGCUAAGUCGAACGUGAAAUCCCCGAGCUCAACUCGGGAACUGCGUCCGAGACUGGCGGGCUUGAAUCCGGGAGAGGGAUGCGGAAUUCCAGGUGUAGCGGUGAAAUGCGUAGAUAUCUGGAGGAACACCGGUGGCGAAGGCGGCAUCCUGGACCGAUAUUGACGCUGAUGCGCGAAAGCCAGGGGAGCAAACGGG
rnacentral:rRNA from 1 species